GGAGCGACGCCGCGUGGUGGAUGAAGCCCUUUGGGGCGUAAACACCUUUUAUGGAGGAGAAAGUUUAUUGAUGUUACUCCAUGAAUAAGGGGCUCCCAAUUCUGUGCCAGCAGGAGCGGUAAUACAGAAGCCCCAAGCGUUACCCGGAAUCACUGGGCGUAAAGGGUGCGUAGGCGGCUAUAUUAGUCGGGUGUUAAAUCCCGGGGCUCAACCCCGGAAUCGCAUUCGAAACGGUAUAGCUAGGAGAAGUGAGAGGUGCAUGGAACUCAAGGUGUAGGGGUGAAAUCCGUUGAUAUCUUGGGGAACACCAAAUGCGAAGGCAAUGCACUGGCGCUCUCUCGACGCUGAGGCACGAAAGCGUGGGUAGCGAAGAGGAUUAGAUACCCUCGUAGUCCACGCCCUAAACGCUGUCAACUGGCUUUUUCGAGUAUCGACCCUCGAAGAGGCGAAGCUAACGCGUUAAGUUGACCGCCUGGGUAGUACGACCGCAAGGUUAAAACUCAAAGGAAUAGACGGGGACCCGCACAAGCGGUGGAGCGCGAGGCUUAAUUCGUCGCUAAACGAAAAACCUUACCGAGGCUAGAAAUCCAGCUGCACGCUCUGGGAAACCAGAGAAGCUUUCGAAGGUGCUGGACAGGUGAUGCAUGGCUGUCGUCAGUUCGUGGCUUGAGCUGUUCCCUUAAGUGGGGAAACGAACGCAACCCUCGUUGUCUGUUAUAUGUGUCAGGCGAGACUGCUCCCUCACGGGAGAGGAAGGUGAGGAUGACGCCAAGUCAGCAUGUCCCUUGAUGCCUCGGGCUGCACUCACGCUACAAUGGUACGCACAACGGGACGCAAUAUCGUAAGAUGGAGCAAAUCCUUAUAAAACGUGCCCCAGUUCGGAUUGAGGUCUGCAACUCGACCUCAUGAAGUCGGAAUCGCUAGUAAUCGCGGAUCAGCAUGCCGCGGUGAAUACGUUCUCGGGUCUUGUACUCAC
rnacentral:rRNA from 1 species